rnacentral:rRNA from 1 species
UCCGUAGGUGAACCCUGCGGAAGGAUCAUUAACGAGUUUUGAAAUGCGGGAUCGUCUGUUGCUGGUGCAUAUAUAUAUAUAUGCGCAUGUGCACGGCACCCGUACUCAAUCCACUCAACCCCUGUGCACUUUAUGGGAGUUAGUAGUCGAUGGUUUGUUCCAUUAUGUCAAUAAAAUGUUAGUAGUCGAAAGGCGAACACAUUUGACGGACGGAGUGAUUGUCGGCGAACACUUCAAUAUUAUUACAAACCCAUUCUAUUGUCAUGUUGAAUGUAUAGCUCCUUGUGGGCGAAAUAAAAUACAACUUUCAACAACGGAUCUCUUGGCUCUCGCAUCGAUGAAGAACGCAGCGAAAUGCGAUAAGUAAUGUGAAUUGCAGAAUUCAGUGAAUCAUCGAAUCUUUGAACGCACCUUGCGCCCCUUGGUAUUCCGAGGGGCAUGCCUGUUUGAGUGUCAUGUUCAUCUCAACUUCCUUGUUUUUCUUUUUAAGACUUGGAUGUUGGACUUGGAGGUAUUAUUUGCUGGCCCCUCUUAACCGUGGUCGGCUCCUCUUAAAUGUAUUAGCCGGGCUUUGGCUCGCGUUGACGGUGUAAUAGUAAACUUAACAUAUUCACCUUUGCGCUUGCCUAGAAGGUCUGCUUCUAACUGUCCCUUUUGUUGGACAAGACAAGACAAUGUCUUCUUGACUCCUUGACCUCAAAUCAGGUAGGACUACCCGCUGAACUUAAGCAUAUCAAUAAGCGGAGGAAA